rnacentral:rRNA from 1 species
GACGAACGCUGGCGGCGUGCUUAACACAUGCAAGUCGAACGGUGACAUCAGAGCUUGCUCUGGUUGAUCAGUGGCGAACGGGUGAGUAACACGUGAGUAACCUGCCCUUGACUCUGGGAUAACUCCGGGAAACCGGGGCUAAUACCGGAUACGAGACGCGACCGCAUGGUCGGCGUCUGGAAAGUUUUUCGGUCAAGGAUGGACUCGCGGCCUAUCAGCUUGUUGGUGAGGUAAUGGCUCACCAAGGCGUCGACGGGUAGCCGGCCUGAGAGGGCGACCGGCCACACUGGGACUGAGACACGGCCCAGACUCCUACGGGAGGCAGCAGUGGGGAAUAUUGCACAAUGGGCGAAAGCCUGAUGCAGCGACGCCGCGUGAGGGAUGAAGGCCUUCGGGUUGUAAACCUCUUUCAGUAGGGAAGAAGCGAAAGUGACGGUACCUGCAGAAGA